GUGGACGUCGCAAAGAAUGUGUGUUAGCGCGCCUCAGCUCGUCCACUACGCAGCGGCAUGUAUGCGGGGAGUAACAUCGUCGACGCAGCACCGGCAACUUGGAGAGUGCUUCGCGACCGCGUCGUACCAUUCAAAAGUGGCGAGGCUGUGACCCAUAACAGUGCCUACAUAACGGAGGAGCCACCAGACCCCUUGGCUAUGCCUGCCGUAGUGCAACGUAUAAUCUGGAUGGUCGGGUCAGGUACACCUAGGAAAUGUUGUAUACAUUGGCAACGAUAACUGGGGCCUGCUCCAGUGCCAUCGCCGGGAUUCCCUGUUCUGCAAAGAACUGACAUAACUGAUGUGGGGAGCCCUGGCGCUCGGUGUAGGAGUAUCACAGGGGCUCCUUGUCGGUGCUUGAAGGACGGCAAUGCUGUUGAGAAGCCGACAUUGAGCCCGAUAAAUUGGAAGCUGUGGGUAGUUACCGCAUUAUUGACUUGGAAACCAGUGAGGUCUGGAUGCAAGUGAAGCUACCGAGGGAGGCAUGUGUGCAUCACUUGUGCUGCUGGCCAUCCUCUGCAAAAGUGAUAGCUGGCAGUCAGUGCUUG